CAGCAGCCGCGGGAAUACGAAGGGGGCUAGCGUUGCUCGGAAUGACUGGGCGUAAAGGGCGCGUAGGCGGCGAUCAAAGUCAGGCGUGAAAUUCCUGGGCUCAACCUGGGGGCUGCGCUUGAUACUGGGUUGCUUGAGUGGGGAAGAGGGUCGUGGAAUUCCCAGUGUAGAGGUGAAAUUCGUAAAUAUUGGGAAGAACACCGGUGGCGAAGGCGGCGACCUGGUCCUUUACUGACGCUGAGGCGCGAAAGCGUGGGGAGCGAACAGGAUUAGAUACCCCGGUAGUCCCUGUCUCUUAUAC
rnacentral:rRNA from 1 species